UACGGAGGGUGCAAACGUUGCUCGGAAUCAUUGGGCGUAAAGCGCACGUAGGCGGCGAAACAAGUUGGGUGUGAAAGCCCUGGGCUCAACCCAGGAAGUGCAUUCAAAACUGUUUCGCUUGAAUCUCGGAGGGGGUCAGAGAAUUCCCGGUGUAGAGGUGAAAUUCGUAGAUAUCGGGAGGAAUACCGGUGGCGAAGGCGGCAUCCUGGACCGACAUUGACGCUGAGGAGCGAAAGCUAGGGGAGCAAACGGG
rnacentral:rRNA from 1 species